GUGGGGAAUCUUGCGCAAUGGGGGCAACCCUGACGCAGCGACGCCGCGUGAGUGACGAAGGCCUUCGGGUUGUAAAGCUCUGUGGAGGGAGACGAAUAAGUGUUGGCUAACAUCCAGCAUGAUGACGGUAUCCCCUUAGCAAGCACCGGCUAACUCUGUGCCAGCAGCCGCGGUAAGACAGAGGGUGCAAACGUUGUUCGGAAUUACUGGGCGUAAAGCGCGUGUAGGCUGCCCUGCAAGUCAGGUGUGAAAGCCCUGGGCUCAACCUAGGAAGUGCACUUGAAACUGCGGGGAUCGAGGGCUGGAGAGGGAAGCGGAAUUCUCGGUGUAGAGGUGAAAUUCGUAGAUAUCGAGAGGAACACCGGUGGCGAAGGCGGCUUCCUGGACAGUUACUGACGCUGAGACGCGAAAGCGUGGGGAGCAAACAGGAUUAGAAACCCUAGUAGUCC
rnacentral:rRNA from 1 species